GUAGGGGGCGAGCGUUGUCCGGAUUUAUUGGGCGUAAAGAGCGUGUAGGCGGCCAGGUAAGUCCGCUGUGAAAACUCGAGGCUUAACCUCGAGAUGUCGGUGGAAACUAUCUGGCUAGAGUCCGGAAGAGGAGAGUGGAAUUCCCGGUGUAGCGGUGAAAUGCGCAGAUAUCGGGAAGAAUAUCCGUGGCGAAGGCGGCUCUCUGGUACGGCACUGACGCUGAGACGCGAAAGCGUGGGGAGCGAACAGGAUUAGAUACCCUGGUAGUCCACGCCGUAAACGAUGGGUGCUAGGUGUGGGCGGUGUCGACUCCGUCCGUGCCGCAGCUAACGCAUUAAGCACCCCGCCUGGGGAGUACGGCCGCAAGGCUAAA
rnacentral:rRNA from 1 species